CUGGUAGUAGCUCAGCGGCAGAGCGCUUGGUUAGGGGCCAAGUGUGCAAGGGUUCGAGUCCCUUCUACCGGACCA
rnacentral:tRNA from 1 species